CGCUGUUGGGUGCGAACAGAGACACAACUCGAAGAAGUCUCAAAUAUUUUUUACUAAAUAGACAAAAAAAAAUAUCGUUAUUAAACCAAACAGUGAAAAUAAUCAGAUCGAGUGCAUGAAUUCUCUCCUGGAAAAAUUGAUGGAGCUGAUAAAGUACGAUUGGAUCCCCGAAGGGGGAUUCCAUUUUGUCCCCCAGGGGCCCCAGAGGUCCCAAGGGUCGACCCGGAAAGGGGUCAAGGGGCUCGACCAAGUAUUAAAAUCACAGCAAACAAUUACAAGCAGAAAAAGAGGAGGAAAAGAAACCCAUCUGAAAGUUGUAUCCAUCCUACUUAUAGUUCUUGUAUCCAUGGAUACAGUUACAGCCAAACCAAUGUCUCCAAAGAGAAGGAACCGACGCGGACCUAAACCAAAAUGGGUGAACCCCUGCGGCAUAAAUCCACAACUGUUCAAGACCCAUGCUCUGCAGGCGUAUCAUGAAGCUAUUCCUCUGUCUGACCGCGAGCUCAUGCAGAAUGUAAUCUUGGCUGCUCGUAACGCUCUCAUUCACUCAGACGCUUUCAAGGAGAAAUUUGUCCGGCGAACUUUUUCUGCUCCAUCAUGGCAGGAUCAUCAUCAAACCUGGAAGGAUCAAAGGCUACACUGGCUACCCUCGUGGCACCAGAUUCCCAAACACCUGAACGAAAAACUGGACGCGGCGCACUUGCAGGAAAUCCGGAUGGAGAACGCACUCUCCAAGAUGUACAGCUAUCUACAGAAAAUAGCUGUCGGACUAGAACAGGUUGUACUUGAUCAAGCUGUUUACGAUGGAGACUUUAUUCAAGAAUUCAACGAAGCUGAAUACAAGCUUAAAGCGGUAUUGUGUGAGCUUCAGGUCGCAAUGCUAGAACGAGGUGUAGAACCUGAGGAGGAUAUUAGGAGAGAGAUAAUGAGCCAAGAUGUUCGAGAUAUUGAGGAUUCAAGCUACAGAAACCUUAGGGACUGGUACAUAUACAGGGACUAUAUGAACGGGCUGGAAUACGUCAUUCAUUCCUUUGACCACUUGAAAAACCACAAUCAGUAAAAAGAAUAUCCAUUGGAAAAUGUUGGGAUGAACUCCAAGAAUUGGUAAACAUCAGAAGAUACCAAAGGAAUCCUAAGAAAUUCUAUUAUAUCAGAUUGGUAGCUGUUAAACAAAGGAGUAAACAAUCCGUGCUGUACACUGCACAUUGUACACCGUGCUGUACACUAUACACUGUACACUGUGCUGUACACUGUACACUGUACACUGUAACAAUGGAUAAAAGCGGGAACAGAAUCUAAAAAAUCUACCAAAAUUUCGAAGCUUCUCUCUUUCAUACCACAGUCAGUUUGUUUGGGUUAAAGUAACAAUGAAGCCAUAGCAGGCUAGGUUUGUUUUAACAAUCAUUUUUUACAUUUUCAUUUUAACUUCAAUUAUUUAUCUUAGUUUAAAUAAAUUAUCAACAGAUUUAUUCUGCAUAAUAUUUGAUGAUAUACAUUUUCUUACAGCCAUUAAAAAAAGAUUUCUAAAACCCAGUUUUGUUUUUUCGUCCGUUGUUAAUUUGAUCCAAACUUCCCAAAAAUUAAAAUGCAGGAUUUUGAGUCCUUCGUACUCCUUUCUGUCAUUCACUAACAAUGGGAAAUCAUAGUAUAAAUAUUUGCAUAUAUUUGUAUAAAUAUAUGCGUAAUGCACGUAUUUUACAUGAAACAUAAGAACAUAUUUAGUAUGUUAUUGUACACUGUACACAGCGCUAGAUUUUUGUAUGCCAAAACAUCAAGGUCUUAUCCAUUCCAUCCCUUAAAUUCAUUUUUAGCCAUCUUGCCGUUUUUAAAACUUAUUUAAGAUUUAGGAGAACCCCUACUUGUGAGGUCAAAGAUAGGUUUUGAAAACCAAUUGUGUAUUAAUUCUGUGAUAUUUAUUUUUUAUAUAUUUAUUAAACAUGGUUUUUCAAAUUAAAUAUAUUGCUAAUAGUUUUAUUUAAAUUCUUGUCAUUGAGACUUUGAUCCAUCACCUAAUCCUGAUCUUUUACAAUUUUUCAGUCAUUUAUAAAAACAUUUUAUGAUUUAUGGAUUCAGUUGUUUACCAAACCAAAUAGAAGUUCAAACUUUGCCAGUUUUUCGGUCAAAACCCAGUUCGGCAAAUUGUAAAGUUUACUUCGAAACUCGAGGUUUCGCGAUUUUAAAACUUUGUUCGCCAAAUUUGCAUUAUAUUAGCCGCCCCAGGCAAUUCUGUGUGAAAUGUUGCCAAGUGUCCCAAAUAAUGGCAUAAUGUCAUAAAUAUAUCUAUAAAUACUUUAUCGUUUAAAUCAAUUCCUAUUGUAAUUAAACAAUCUCAAUGUAAACAUAAAUAUCGUAACAUUAUAGAAAUGACCAAAGAUUUGUUAAUGUCGAAAACUAUCAUCCAGAGGAUGGAGAUUUUCAAGUAAAUUUUAUGACUUUCUAGUUUCAAGUGAUAUUGGAUAUUUUUGGGGUUUUAGGGGUAAAAAUUAAUAUUUUGUCAUCUCUGCUAUUAGCUCUAAAUGUUUAAAUAUGUAUUUGUUGUAUUAAAUUAUAU